CACUAAUUCUACUUCUCUUUAGAUGCCAUUCUGGGCCUGUGAGAGACUGUUGAUUUUUAUCUCUAGUUUCCAAAGCCCCAACAGCCACUCUCAGGAUUUGUUAUCAAAGUUAAUUUUUAAACACUAAAGAUACCAGUCUUAACCAGUUUUUUUUUCUUUACUCCAUCCACAGUGUGAUGGUACAUUCUAUAGGAUUUUAUAAAAAUAUGCUGAUGAGUGUGAAUAUAAUGUAACUGGAAUAUGCUU